rnacentral:rRNA from 1 species
AUUCAGUGAAUCAUCGAAUCUUUGAACGCACAUUGCGCCCGCCAGUAUUCUGGCGGGCAUGCCUGUUCGAGCGUCAUU